rnacentral:rRNA from 1 species
UACGAAGGGGGCGAGCGUUGUUCGGAUUUACUGGGCGUAAAGGGAGCGUAGGCGGCGCGGUAAGUCAGAUGUGAAAUCCCGGGGCUCAACCCCGGAACUGCAUCCGAUACUGCCGUGCUAGAGGACUGGAGAGGCAACUGGAAUUAUCGGUGUAGCAGUGAAAUGCGUGGAUAUCGAUAGGAACACUCGUGGCGAAAGCGAGUUGCUGGACAGUAUCUGACGCUGAGGCUCGAAGGCUAGGGUAGCGAAAGGG